GAAGUGUGCCCGAAAACUACAAGGACUACUUUGAUAAAGCAGACAUAGAGCCACCACACUCUCACUUCUU
rnacentral:tRNA from 1 species